rnacentral:lncRNA from 1 species
GACCCAGGCAGGGGCGGGGCCCGAGCGGGGCCUUGGAGGCCCAGCCCGCGCGGCGACGUCUCCGCGUGGCGUCACGGCACCGACUGACGGCCACCCACCAUGGCCGCAGACCAGCGCCCGAAGGCCGACACCCUGGCCCUGAGGCAACGGCUCAUCAGCUCUUCCUGCAGACUCUUUUUUCCCGAGGAUCCUGUUAAGAUUGUCCGGGCCCAAGGGCAGUACAUGUACGAUGAACAGGGGGCAGAAUACAUCGAUUGCAUCAGCAAUGUGGCACACGGUCAGUAUCACACCUCAGGCUGGCAGGGCAGGAGAGGAAGGCAGUGCUGUGAACCUGGUCCCAAGGUGACCUGAGAUUGCCGAGAGGUGUGGAGAACCUGGGUGGAGUUGAGGCACUGUCAAUAUGCAGAGGAGACUCAGCCUUUGCAAUAUAGCUGUGGAAUUCUGCAAUCUGG